AGAAUCAACGCUGGCGGCGUGCCUAACACAUGCAAGUCGAACGAGAAAGUGGAGCAAUCCAUGAGUAAAGUGGCGCACGGGUGAGUAACACGUGACUAACCUACCCUUGAGUGGGGGAUAACCUAGAGAAAUCUGGGCUAAUACCGCAUAAUACCUUCGGGUCAAAGGAGCAAUUCGCUUAAGGAGGGGGUCGCGGCCGAUUAGUUAGUUGGCGGGGUAAUGGCCCACCAAGACUAUGAUCGGUAUCCGGCCUGAGAGGGCGCACGGACACACUGGAACUGAAACACGGUCCAGACUCCUACGGGAGGCAGCAGUGGGGAAUUUGCGCAAUGGGGGAAACCCUGACGCAGCAACGCCGCGUGGAGGAUGAAGUCCCUUGGGACGUAAACUCCUUUCGAUCGGGACGAUUAUGACGGUACCGGAAGAAGAAGCCCCGGCUAACUUCGCGCCAGCAGCCGC
rnacentral:rRNA from 1 species